GGCCCUUUCAGAGCCUACUCCAGCCACUGGUGGGCUGCUGGGGGAGGGAUUUUUUUGUUUUUGUUUUUGAGACGGAGCCUUAAUCUGUCCCUCAGGCUGGAGUGCAGUGGCGUGAUCUCGGCCCACUGCAACCUCUGCCUCCUGGGUUCAAGCAAUUCUCCUGCCUCAGCCUCCUGAGUAGCUGGGACUACAGGUCACGUCCUUGCGAAACCUCUGCAGCCUCUGCCGGUAACCACCACCCCGGCCCCACCCUGGGGAGAAGGGGCGGAGCCUCCGGGGCGAGCCACGCCCCCGAUGAGCCCGGUCCUGCCCAGCGUGGCCGCCAGAGGGCACCGAGGUUCGGGAGUCGGGGUGGGGCGCCCCGGGGCCUCUGUCUGCUCCCGGCCGCGGCACCCGCACCUACUCGGUGGGGGCGGGGGCCAGGGCUGGGGAAAGUCCCAGGGCGUGCCUGGUGCCAGAAACGUUCCUCACGCACCUGGAGUCGCAGAAUGCCCGGGCUGGAAGGGAUGCCAGGGUGGGGACCUAACCUGCCAAAGGUCACACCCUGGGGAAGGUCUCCCAAUGCCGUGUCCUCCUGACCAGGCCGCGUAGUGCGCAUGGCCUGUUUGCCACCUGUAAUUGAAGGGUUAGCUCACCAACAAGCUCUGCCCACUGCCCACAAAUACACCUUCCUGGGGCCUCUUCUGAAAUCAUCGUUCUUUACAUUGCAUCCAAAGUAGGUUUCUCUCCCAUUGCAGCAGAUGUCAAACAAAAAACAAAGUAGGUCUCUCCAUUUCCCGAUACAGUUGACCCUUGAACAAUAUGGGUUUAAACUUCGCGUAUCCACUUACACUUGGAUUUUUUUUUCAAUAAAAGUUACACCAAGGGCCGGGCGUGGUAUUUUUGGUAGAGAUGGGGUUUCACCAUCUUGGCCAGGCUGGUUUUGAACUCCUGACCUGGUGAUCCACCUGCCUCGGCCUCCCAAAGUGCUGGGAUUAAGGGCGUGAGCCACCGUGCCUGGCCAGUUAUUGUUUGUGAAUGUGUGUGUGUUUUGUGGUUUUUUGUUUUUGUUUUCGUUUUUUGUUUUUUUGAGACAGAGUCUCACUCUGUCGCCCAGGCUGGAGUGCAGUGUUGCGAUCUCAGCUCACUGCAGCCUCCACUUCCCAGGUUCAAGAGAUUCUCCUGCCUCAACCUCCCGAGUAGCUGGGACUACAGGAGUGCACCACCACACCCGGCUAAUUUUUGUAUUGUUAGUAGAGACGGGGUUUCAUCAUGUUGUCCAGGCUGGGCUCGAACUCCCGGCCUCAAGUGAUCCGCCCACCAUGGCCUCCCAAAGUGCUGGGAUUACAGGUGUGAGCCACCUCGCCUGGCCUGGUUAUUGUUCACAACACCCAGAACAAGAAACAGAACAUUACCAUUGCGCCAUGCCCUAUUUCAGACACUACCUCCCCAAGGGUAGUCACUAUCCUGACUUUUCACGGCACCGAAUAGUUUCACCUGGUUUUGUGCUUUAUGUAAAUUGAAUCAUACAACACG